GCCUACCAUGCAAGUCGAGCGGUAGCACAGAGAGCUUGCUCUCGGGUGACGAGCGGCGGACGGGUGAGUAAUGUCUGGGAAACUGCCUGAUGGAGGGGGAUAACUACUGGAAACGGUAGCUAAUACCGCAUAACGUCGCAAGACCAAAGUGGGGGACCUUCGGGCCUCAUGCCAUCAGAUGUGCCCAGAUGGGAUUAGCUAGUAGGUGGGGUAACGGCUCACCUAGGCGACGAUCCCUAGCUGGUCUGAGAGGAUGACCAGCCACACUGGAACUGAGACACGGUCCAGACUCCUACGGGAGGCAGCAGUGGGGAAUAUUGCACAAUGGGCGCAAGCCUGAUGCAGCCAUGCCGCGUGUGUGAAGAAGGCCUUCGGGUUGUAAAGCACUUUCAGCGGGGAGGAAGGCGAUAAGGUUAAUAACCUUGUCGAUUGACGUUACCCGCAGAAGAAGCACCGGCUAACUCCGUGCCAGCAGCCGCGGUAAUACGGAGGGUGCAAGCGUUAAUCGGAAUUACUGGGCGUAAAGCGCACGCAGGCGGUCUGUCAAGUCGGAUGUGAAAUCCCCGGGCUCAACCUGGGAACUGCAUUCGAAACUGGCAGGCUAGAGUCUUGUAGAGGGGGGUAGAAUUCCAGGUGUAGCGGUGAAAUGCGUAGAGAUCUGGAGGAAUACCGGUGGCGAAGGCGGCCCCCUGGACAAAGACUGACGCUCAGGUGCGAAAGCGUGGGGAGCAAACAGGAUUAGAUACCCUGGUAGUCCACGCCGUAAACGAUGUCGAUUUGGAGGUUGUGCCCUUGAGGCGUGGCUUCCGGAGCUAACGCGUUAAAUCGACCGCCUGGGGAGUACGGCCGCAAGGUUAAAACUCAAAUGAAUUGACGGGGGCCCGCACAAGCGGUGGAGCAUGGGGUUUAAUUCGAUGCAACGCGAAGAACCUUACCUGGUCUUGACAUCCACAGAACUUUCCAGAGAUGGAUUGGUGCCUUCGGGAACUGUGAGACAGGUGCUGCAUGGCUGUCGUCAGCUCGUGUUGUGAAAUGUUGGGUUAAGUCCCGCAACGAGCGCAACCCUUAUCCUUUGUUGCCAGCG
rnacentral:rRNA from 1 species